AGCAUGUAGAAGACCCUCAUUAAACAUUUCUUAUCUGAAUGAAAAUGUUACAAAAUGCAUUGUGAAAUACCUACAAUGUCGAAAGAAAGGUAUGAAAGUGGAUUUUCUCUGAAGACAUACUUCUGGAGAGCUGAAGGAAUAAACAAAACCAAACUACUACCCGAUUCGGCAUGCAAACUGUUACCUCAAGAAGGAAAGAAGAAAAUGGAAUGCAAAAGCCAUUGUGUCUAAACAUUGACCAGAUGUGUGAAAAACUUAUUUUAAUGAGGGGCACUGUUACUCACUAAGCAGUAAAA